AGCGCAGGCGGUUUUUUAAGUCUAAUGUGAAAGCCUUCGGCUCAACCGAAGAAGUGCAUCGGAAACUGGGAAACUUGAGUGCAGAAGAGGACAGUGGAACUCCAUGUGUAGCGGUGAAAUGCGUAGAUAUAUGGAAGAACACCAGUGGCGAAGGCGGCUGUCUGGUCUGUAACUGACGCUGAGGCUCGAAAGCAUGGGUAGCGAACA
rnacentral:rRNA from 1 species